rnacentral:rRNA from 1 species
CCUACGGGUGGCUGCAGUAGGGAAUCUUCCGCAAUGGACGCAAGUCUGACGGAGCAACGCCGCGUGAGUGAAGAAGGGUUUCGGCUCGUAAAACUCUGUUGUUAAGGAAGAAUGACACAUGGAGUAACUGCCAUGUGUGUGACGGUACUUAACCAGAAAGCCACGGCUAACUACGUGCCAGCAGCCGCGGUAAUACGUAGGUGGCAAGCGUUAUCCGGAAUUAUUGGGCGUAAAGCGCGCGUAGGCGGUUUCUUAAGUCUGAUGUGAAAGCCCCCGGCUCAACCGGGGAGGGUCAUUGGAAACUGGGGAACUUGAGUGCAGAAGAGGAGAGUGGAAUUCCAUGUGUAGCGGUGAAAUGCGCAGAGAUAUGGAGGAACACCAGUGGCGAAGGCGGCUCUCUGGUCUGUAACUGACGCUGAUGUGCGAAAGCGUGGGGAGCAAACAGGAUUAGAUACCCCGGUAGUC